rnacentral:rRNA from 1 species
GAUGAACGCUGGCGGCGUGCCUAAUACAUGCAAGUCGAGCGAACAGACGAGGAGCUUGCUCCUCUGACGUUAGCGGCGGACGGGUGAGUAACACGUGGAUAACCUACCUAUAAGACUGGGAUAACUUCGGGAAACCGGAGCUAAUACCGGAUAAUAUAUUGAACCGCAUGGUUCAAUAGUGAAAGACGGUUUUGCUGUCACUUAUAGAUGGAUCCGCGCCGCAUUAGCUAGUUGGUAAGGUAACGGCUUACCAAGGCAACGAUGCGUAGCCGACCUGAGAGGGGGAUCGGCCACACUGGAACGUGGACACGGUCCAGACUCCUACGGGAGGCAGCAGUAGGGAAUCUGCCGCAAUGGGCGAAAGCCUGACGGAGCAACGCCGCGUGAGUGAUGAAGGUCUUCGGAUCGUAAAACUCUGUUAUUAGGGAAGAACAAAUGUGUAAGUAACUAUGCACGUCUUGACGGUACCUAAUCAGAAAGCCACGGCUAACUACGUG